rnacentral:ncRNA from 1 species
CGACCCCAGGUCAGGCGGGACUACCCGCUGAGUUUAAGCAUAUAAAUAAGCGGAGGAGAAGAAACUUACAAGGAUUCCCCUAGUAACGGCGAGCGAACCGGGAACAGCCCAGCUUUGCAAUCGGGCGGCUGUGCCGUCCGAAUUGUAGUCUGGAGACGCGUCCUCAGCGACGGACCGGGCCCAAG